rnacentral:rRNA from 1 species
GGAUGAACGCUAGCGGCAGGCCUAAUACAUGCAAGUCGAGGGGCAGCAGGAGCUUGCUCCAGAUGACGACCGGCGCACGGGUGAGUAACGCGUAUGCAACCUACCUCAAACAGGGGAAUAGCUCAGGGAAACCUGGAUUAAUGCCCCAUAAUAUUUAGAUUUGGCAUCAGAUUUAAAUUAAAACUCCGGUGGUUUGAGAUGGGCAUGCGUGACAUUAGCUAGUUGGUAAGGUAAUGGCUUACCAAGGCUACGAUGUCUAGGGGUUCUGAGAGGAUGAUCCCCCACACUGGUACUGAGACACGGACCAGACUCCUACGGGAGGCAGCAGUGAGGAAUAUUGGUCAAUGGGCGCAAGCCUGAACCAGCCAUCCCGCGUGUAGGAAGACUGCCCUAUGGGUUGUAAACUACUUUUUUAUAAAGGAAAACUCCCGCACGUGUGCGGGACUGACUGUACUUUACGAAUAAGCACCGGCUAACUCCGUGCCAGCAGCCGCGGUAAUACGGAGGGUGCAAGCGUUAUCCGGAUUUAUUGGGUUUAAAGGGUGCGUAGGCGGGCUAAUAAGUCAGUGGUGAAAUCUCGAGGCUCAACCUCGAAACUGCCAUUGAUACUGUUAUACUCGAGUAUAGACGAAGUAGGCGGAAUGUAGCAUGUAGCGGUGAAAUGCUUAGAUAUGCUACAGAACACCGAUUGCGAAGGCAGCUUACUAGACUAUUACUGACGCUAAUGCACGAAAGCGUGGGGAGCGAACAGGAUUAGAUACCCUGGUAGUCCACGCCGUAAACUAUGAUUACUCGAUGUUGGCGAUACACAGUCAGUGUCUAAGGGAAACCGAUAAGUAAUCCACCUGGGGAGUACGUCGGCAACGAUGAAACUCAAAGGAAUUGACGGGGGCCCGCACAAGCGGAGGAACAUGUGGUUUAAUUCGAUGAUACGCGAGGAACCUUACCUGGGUUUAAAUGUAGAUUGCAUGAUCGGGAAACAUCUUUCCUUCGGUACUAUUUACAAGGUGCUGCAUGGUUGUCGACAGCUCGUGCCGUGAGGUGUCGGGUUAAGUCCCAUAACGAGCGCAACCCCUAUCGUUAGUUGCCAUCAGGUCAUGCUGGGGACUCUAACGAGACUGCCGGUGUAAACCGUGAGGAAGGUGGGGAUGACGUCAAAUCAGCACGGCCCUUAUAUCCAGGGCUACACACGUGUUACAAUGGUCGAUACAAAGAGCAGCCACUUGGUGACAAGGAGCUAAUCUCUAAAGUCGAUCACAGUUCGGAUCGAAGUCUGCAACUCGACUUCGUGAAGUUGGAUUCGCUAGUAAUCGCGCAUCAGCCACGGCGCGGUGAAUACGUUCCCGGGCC